rnacentral:rRNA from 1 species
UACGUAGGGGGCAAGCGUUGUCCGGAUUUAUUGGGCGUAAAGAGCGUGUAGGCGGCCAUGUAGGUCCGUUGUGAAAACUUGAGGCUCAACCUCGAGACGCCGAUGGAAACCAUGUGGCUAGAGUCCGGAAGAGGAGAGUGGAAUUCCUGGUGUAGCGGUGAAAUGCGCAGAUAUCAGGAGGAACACCUAUAGCGAAGGCAGCUCGCUGGGACGGUACUGACGCUGAGGCGCGAAAGCGUGGGGAGCGAACAGG